rnacentral:ncRNA from 1 species
CCCCGGCAACGUAUGCGGGGUGUCCCGGGUGACCGGGAAGAAUCGGGAAGCCGGUGGAAGUCCGGCACGGGCCCGCCGCGGUGACCGGGGAGCAGCCGCCCACGCGUCUCCCACGCAGCCACUGGGCCGGAUCGGCCUGGGAAGGCGGGCGGUCGGCGUCGAUCCGGGAGUCCGAAGACCGGCCCCGCCACAGCGCCGCCCU